GGAAACGCUAAUUCAGUUAAAAGGAAAAAGGAGCAGGUGGCCACAUUGGAAAACGUUAGUCAUUCUCCCUCUCACGGUUGGGGUUCAAAAAACCUGCCCCUAGUAACUCAGCGGGUCAAAGCCUUCUUUCCGCACUUUGAAUUCAAAUUAAGAUAUUUUAGGUUAUCCACUGGAUUUCAGCAGGACAUAGGGACUGGCGUGACUUGCCUGCUAGAGAAGAGUACUGUACUUACACGAGCUCCUGUCAACCAGUGGGAAGGCCCAUCUGCUGCUUUUUGGAUGCCAAUGGUUUAGGUUUUGGCAGCCAGAGCUCUGCCUGAGCUGCAGGUCAUUGGAGUUGAUCUUUGGAGGAGAGGGCAGAACAGCAUCUUUGCUCAGGUAUGCCUUAGAAUUAUCAUGGUAUGUGCCACAAUACAUGCUUCUUUUAUUAGCUGUGUGAAGUUCACCAAGAAAGUUACAGAUUAGAUUAAAGACACCCCGUGGUAUGAAACCCGUGGAAGCCUCUGAAUGGGAUGGC